rnacentral:lncRNA from 1 species
GUACAAGGUAUGUAGAAGGUAGAAUAAUAAGUAUCAGUUCUUUGCUCACAGACAUGUUGGGAGAUGAGACAUAGUCACAUAUAAAUUUAAUAUAAGGUAGAGAAUAUCAAAAGGAAAGAACUGAAAUACUCUUUCCUAUAUAGGUUAAAAUGAAGCUAUAUUCAGGAUGCAAGUUCAUUUUGGCUCCAGUCUGGAUAAUUGGUCUGGCUAGACCAUCAUCUAGCAGAAUUUGAAACAACAGAACCCAUGAGGAGUAAGAUUUGCUGGAGGAGGUAUUGCAAGGCUACGCUUCCUCUUCAGGUGAGAGGACUUGGGACUCUGUAGUGAAAGGAGACUGCGGGUGAGAGGCUGAAGAACCGCUCCCCAGCAUUCUACUUCUUUGAAAUAAAGAAAGUUGAAAAGAGGGCGCUUCUUUUUCUGCCAAAGAUCUGGAAACACUUUGUCCCUGGAUGGACUUUCAGCCAAAUGAGGAUCUCCAUAGGAAUGGAAGAAAUCACACGCUCUGCUCCAGGAUCCUACAUUUGCCAGUCUUCAUGAAAAGUGAAAAUGGGCUGAUUCUGAUGGCAGCGAUCUUUGACUAC